UUUAACAUCUUUUUUUGCUAAUUGGAAAUAAGAAUGUAAAAAUAUUAAUAUAAAAAUUUUAUAUCCUAUGCCCCCCCCCCUUUUACCCAACCAAGCAUUUCAGUGAAUUUCUUGUUAAAAAUUGUGAAGUAAAACAACAGGGGAUAAAGUUAUAUGACAUUGUAUUGUGACUAUAAUUCUGCAGUUUCAGCUGUUAAAUGGAAUUGACUUAAAAUUGAUCAUGAUUGACAGAUCCUAUAGGUCAGGAUAUUUUAGAUAGACUUACUAUUGAUCAUAAUAAACAGGUCUUAAAGGUCAGGAAACCUUAGAUGUGACAAUGAAGCUGUUUAAAUUGACUCUGACAGAAAUUCUUGUAAUUUUAGCACUAUAUUACAUUACAAUUUAAAUAUGAGAACUAUCCAUUGUAAUACUCAAGACACAUGUUACCUUUAGCUGUUUAGCUGUUUACUUAUAAAACUGUUAUGUACUUCAUUUCUUCUUUUGUGCCAUAUA